rnacentral:misc_RNA from 1 species
GAUGAAGAACGUAGCGAAAUGCGAUAAGUAAUGUGAAUUGCAGAAUUCAGUGAAUCAUCGAAUCUUUGAACGCACAUUGCGCCCGCCAGUAUUCUGGCGGGCAUGCCUGUUCGAGCGUCAUUUCAACCCUCAGGCCCCCAGUGCCUGGCGUUGGGGAUCGGCACACGACCCGGGCCUCUCUCCGGAGGGGACCCGCGGCGCCCGCCGGCCCCGAAAUCUAGUGGCGGUCUCGCUGUAGUCCUCCUCUGCGUAGUAGCAUACACCUCGCAGCUGGAACUUGGCGGUGGCCACGCCGUUAAACACCCCACUUCUGAAAGUUGACCUCGGAUCAGGUAGGAAUACCCGCUGAACUUAAGCAUAUCAAUAAGCGGAGGA